AGCUUUGCGCAGUGGCAGUAUCGUAGCCAAUGAGGUUUAUCCAAGGCGCGAUUAUUGCUAAUCAAGACAUACUGCAAAGCUACAAUAAUCAAACAGUAUGGUACU
ensembl:snRNA U4 U4 spliceosomal RNA